rfam:Octopus bimaculoides Scaffold105058_contig_86, whole genome shotgun sequence.
GGUGGUUUAGCUUAAUGGUUCAGAGCAGCGCAACGCGUAAUCACGGAGGUAUGAGUUCGAGUCUCAUAUCCUGCCA